GAUGAACGCUGGCGGCGUGCCUAAUACAUGCAAGUCGAGCGAACAGACGAGGAGCUUGCUCCUCUGACGUUAGCGGCGGACGGGUGAGUAACACGUGGAUAACCUACCUAUAAGACUGGGAUAACUUCGGGAAACCGGAGCUAAUACCGGAUAAUAUAUUGAACCGCAUGGUUCAAUAGUGAAAGACGUUUUUGCUUUCCUUUAUAGUUGAACCCGCGCCGAAUUAGCUAUUGGGUAAGGUAACGGCUUCCCAAGGCAACGAUGCUAACCCGACCUGAGAGGUGAACGGCCCAACUGGAAAUGAAAAACGGUCCAAAAUCCUACGGGAGGCAGCAGUAGGGAAUCUUCCGCAAUUGGCGAAAGCCUGAAGGAGCAACGCCGCGUGGGUGAUGAAGGGCUUCGGAUCGUAAAACCCUGUUAAUAGGGAAGAAAAAAUGUGUAAGUAACUAUGCACGUCUUGACGGUACCUAAUCAGAAAGCCACGGCUAACUACGUG
rnacentral:rRNA from 1 species